CUGCAAACAAAGUGUACAAUGCCUUAAAGUACUUGAACAGAGAAAGUAACCAAGAUGUCAACUUGCCAGCUUUGACAUGGUGACCUGUAACAUGAUGUGCACUAUAGCCUCAUCAUAUUUGUUGGGCCAGGCAAUGCCCAAACAUGUGGAAACUCAGGGUAUUUGAGCUUCGAAAGCCUUUUCCUGCCCUAAAAGGGAAUUCAAAAGGUCUUUUGGAGGGGGAGGAAAUCACACGGCGUUUAUUCUGCAGGGUAACCCGGCAUUCCCAAGACCCAAGCGCCAUGAUGCUCCAGGCCUGCCUCUCCAUUCACCAAGAUGUCUCACUGCCUCUGAUACAGAAAUCCACAGCCUUGUUAAGUUUUCUAAGCAACUUGGCCCAAUCCACCAGGUUUGGAAAGACUACGACAAUCAUAUCCUUCCCAAGUCCUCAAGAGAGGAUAAAGAGGAAUCCUUCCACCCAGUCUGAAUAGGAGAUUUGGUAUACCAGAAAACAUGGAGAGGAUCAAGCCAGCUAACACCUCUGUAACUAUGAAAAUGUGGUUUGCCAAGACUGUGAAUUGCCAAAACUGUAAAGGUUUCAGCCAAACUGUAAAGAUAAUUUUUAGUGUCUUGAUUUAAAAUCUAAAAUUAAGUGGUCACCAUGGGAAAAUUCCCAAAUAUGAAAAUACCCAAAUCAGCUGGAAUUUAUGGAGAUUUUAAUUAAUACAAAUGAAGGAAUUAAGAGAAGGAGAGAGAAAGAGAAAAUAGUAGAAAGGGCCUAGGCCUGAGCCUAAGGGAGAGCGAGUCAGUCUUUAUCACUCACCACAAGAUCGUCUCAAGCAAGCUCCAGUCCUCCACUGAACUCCUGAACUCCUCCACUGAGUUCAAUCCUUCUCCUUUUAAAGAAAUUUUCUCUUAUGUCACCUCCCCUAAAUUUUCACAUCUAUCAAUCACAGUAAACACUUUUUUCCCAGGACUGCCCAUUCCUAGUUCUUAUCUUCUUUUGUUCUCACCUUCUCUGGUUAGAUAAAAUCCUCUGAGUACUUCACACUUCUUUUGUUAAGCUUGCCUUCUGUAAAUUGCUUGACUUUUUAGGUACUAUUUUAACCUUUAUAGGUACUUAGCACCCUUUUGUAUUAGAUCUAAAAAUAGACCUAACUUAAGGUUCUAGCUUUACUAUAAGUAUGAGUUAAGGACUUUUCAUUGUUCAGACAGGAGUUUGCAACUUUAUCUUCCCCUAAGGCACUGUCUGAGUAGGGUGGAGUAAUUUUAAAAGUUCUCAAUACAUUACUGAUCAAAUACCUCCAUUGUUAAAAAUGGGGAAUAGCUUAAUCAAAUCUUCUAAGGUAUAGUCUGAGUAGUUUUAAGAUUCACACAUCAAUGGGAAGAGCCCCAACCAGUCAUUCUAUCCACACCCUUCCUCCUUGUUAUUUCAAAUCUCUCUUGCUCUAGCCAUGACUAUCCUUUUCUUACACUUUCUUUUUUCUGUUUUUUUUUAAUCAUUCAUGUCCAGCCAUCUGGACAGAUAAUUCCCUGAUUUGUAAAUAUGUCACUUCUCUAGUUGCUUGUAGGGUGAAAGCUCCCAUUGGAGUCACUGAGAUGCCAUUACAACCCUGCAACCUUCCCAACCUGAACCCCUGGACAUUGCCUAUAGCCAAUGCCUCUCUCCUGAAAAUAGGCAAGGGCAGCUCCACAACCAUUCUUAGCUCUGAAGAAGCUACAGAAUACUGAGACCAUUGCCCCUUUUUCCCUUAGAUAUUUGGAGAUGGGGGGAGAUGUUAUGGGCAUUGUUCCCCAGAAACUUAGAUAAACUAUUAUCAGGGAAAUUCCUUUGCUCCCUUAUACCCUCUGACUCCCAACCCAAAACAUCUGACCUUGAGAGGAUUAUCCUCCUUUGAUUAUCCCACUGAUUUGAGAUGGACAAAGAGACACACCUCAUCCAUCUGUCUUCCAAAUCAUGAGAACCAACCCCAUGCCUUCAGGGAAACCUCCUCCCCAAUCCCUUGUCCCAAAGUCAAGUCCUCAUUGCUGUAAAAGAAUAUAAGAACCCUAGAACUGAGGCAUUCUGGGAGCAACCUCCCAGGUUACUCCACUCAUACUGUCUUGCUUGCCAAAAAUUCAACAUUACUAAUAAAUCUCUCUUUAC
ensembl:lncRNA